UACGAAGGGGGCUAGCGUUGUUCGGAAUUACUGGGCGUAAAGGGCUCGUAGGUGGCCAACUAAGUCAGACGUGAAAUCCCUCAGCUUAACUGGGGAACUGCGUCUGAUACUGGAUGGCUUGAGUUUGGGAGAGGGAUGCGGAAUUCCAGGUGUAGCGGUGAAAUGCGUAGAUAUCUGGAGGAACACCGGUGGCGAAGGCGGCAUCCUGGACCAACACUGACACUGAUGAGCGAAAGCCAGGGGAGCAAACGGG
rnacentral:rRNA from 1 species